rnacentral:rRNA from 1 species
ACUCCUACGGGAGGCAGCAGUGGGAAUAUUGGACAAAUGGGGGAACCCGUAGCUCCAGCCAUGCCGCGUGUGUGAAGAAGGCCUUCGGGUUGUAAAAGCACUUUCAGUGGGGAGGAAAGGUUGAUGGUUAAUACCUAUCAGCUGUGACGUUACCCACAGAAGAAGCACCGGCUAACUCCGUGCCAGCAGCCGCGGUAAUACGGAGGGUGCAAGCGUUAAUCGGAAUUACUGGGCGUAAAGCGUGCGCAGGCGGUCUGUUAAGCGAGAUGUGAAAGCCCC